UACGUAGGGUGCAAGCGUUGUCCGGAAUUAUUGGGCGUAAAGAGCUCGUAGGCGGUCUGUCGCGUCGGCUGUGAAAACUCGGGGCUCAACUCCGAGCUUGCAGUCGAUACGGGCAGGCUAGAGUUCGGCAGGGGAGACUGGAAUUCCUGGUGUAGCGGUGAAAUGCGCAGAUAUCAGGAGGAACACCGGUGGCGAAGGCGGGUCUCUGGGCAGUAACUGACGCUGAGGAACGAAAGCGUGGGUAGCAAACAGG
rnacentral:rRNA from 1 species